UGGGGAAUUUUGGACAAUGGGCGAAAGCCUGAUCCAGCAAUGCCGCGUGUGUGAAGAAGGCCUUCGGGUUGUAAAGCACUUUUGUCCGGAAAGAAAUCCUUGGCUCUAAUACAGUCGGGGGAUGACGGUACCGGAAGAAUAAGCACCGGCUAACUACGUGCCAGCAGCCGCGGUAAUACGUAGGGUGCAAGCGUUAAUCGGAAUUACUGGGCGUAAAGCGUGCGCAGGCGGUUUUGCUAAGACCGAUGUGAAAUCCCCGGGCUCAACCUGGGAACUGCAUUUGGUGACUGGCAGGCUAGAGUAUGGCAGAGGGGGGUAGAAUUCCACGUGUAGCAGUGAAAUGCGUAGAGAUGUGGAGGAAUACCGA
rnacentral:rRNA from 1 species